rnacentral:rRNA from 1 species
UACGUAGGGCGCAAGCGUUGUCCGGAAUUAUUGGGCGUAAAGAGCUCGUAGGCGGUCUGUUACGUCCGCUGUGAAAACCCAGGGCUUAACCCUGGGCUUGCAGUGGAUACGGGCAGACUAGAGGCAGGUAGGGGAGAAUGGAAUUCCCGGUGUAGCGGUGAAAUGCGCAGAUAUCGGGAGGAACACCGGUGGCGAAGGCGGUUCUCUGGCCUGACCUGACGCUGAGGAGCGAAAGCGU